CCUUAGGCUCCACAAGGGCUGGGGGUUACUUUCUCUGGAUCAUCAAGUAGUUAAUUUCUUCCCUUUGGUGGUGGUUUUUAGCAACUGAAAACUCAGGAAAUAUGCAUGAGAUACCAUUAUCUGGGUGCUUCAGAGAGGGGCUACAGCAGAGGACACGGGGCAGGGGUCUGACCCUGGAGGGCCCCAUGAGUCCUGCUCAGUUACACCAGUAGACCCCGAACUUUGUUACCCGCUCACUGUAAUACAAUAAUACGGUAAAUGACACCCCCACAGGCGCCUGACAGUUUGAAGGCUGACCAUAAACGGUCAAAAGUGGGUGAGGGCCCAGUCCCUGGGAGUCCCCACCCCUCCCCCAAAGCAGCGGGAAUAGCCCUCCCACCCGUUAGCACGUGGAGUUACCCAGCCCGUAAAAGCUGACACCCCCAGGCCUCGUGGCCUCUUGUUUGCCUUCUGAGAUGGCUCCACUGUGUCUAUGCAGUCUGCAACUACUUCUACCUUAAACCAAACACCCCCAUGCCUCGUGGCCUCCCUGGCCUGCGAUCUGUCUAUGAAGAAUGUAUCUCUCUGGAUAAAUCUACCUCCACUCAACUAUGGCUCCCUCUUAAAUUCUUUUCUGUGUGAAGCCAAGGACCCUCACCUGAUGGGCUGUAUCUCAGGGACUUGCCUGGAACCUGGGUCGCGGCCGUCCUCUCACGCCCUAUUUUCCUGCAUCAGCACCACGUGGUUAAAGAACCAGAUGCUGUUUGGCGCAGGAAUACAAAAAUGGAAGAAAGCAAUGUGGUCAGGAGUUGCUCUCCGAAGAAGUGGCUCUGAGCUAGAUUAGAAGGAUAUGCAGGAUGUCCUGGCAGAGAGAAGGAGAGACAGGCAGCCCCAUCUUUUCGAUGCUACUGUUUGAAGGACGUCCCAGCUCUCCGGGUCCCCCAGGCAGCACCACUUCAUGUUUUAGUUGACUUCUUUGCACACUGGAAAAAUAAGAAGGCUCCCUUCUCCGUGCAUCACGACUGCUCCUUUUUGAAAAGCAGUGUUCUGUCUCGGCCACGUUCUGCUUCUCCCUCUGAAGCACGGAGACACUUGGACUGCAUCUCUGCUGAUGAGGGAAGUGGAGAGAAGUUUGUGCACUAGAAGAUGUGUCGGCUGUAGGAAGGCGACCCUGUCUUUGAAGAACAACAAACAGAGGAUACAGAAGAUGAUCGAUUUUUGAAGACCUGAAAAUGAAAUAAUGUGAGAGAGGAAAAAUAUACAUAAAAUGUCCACCUGGCUCAUUAACAAAAUGAAAAGCAAAGAAUUUAAACCUUUAUUCCAUGAACAUAAAGUAAGAAAAAGAUACACCACCUCCUUGUUAUGGGCAGUUAAAUAGGAAGAAAAGAGCAGACAGAAGAAAUUAUAUAUGAAAAUAAAGGAGAGAAAGAAAAAAAGGUGAAAAGGAGAGGAGUAGGUUAGAAAAGGAGAACAAAGGAAGAAAGACAAUAGGACUCGACUUGGGAGAGAAAAAUCUGGGGGCAGGAGGAGAGCUUCACAGGGCAGGAAGAAGGCAGUGGGUCGUCCCAGCCCUACUCCCCUUUUUGCAGCCUCCACUCUCGAAUCUGGUUUGCCACCCCUCCGUGCAAUUGAUGGAAUCUCUCUGAGACAGCAUGCUCUCCAUCUCCAGACCUUCUCAGGCCCAGAGGCUUUGUCAGUCUUCACCUGCAUCCAGCCCCAUGGGAGGGACCCCUUCAAGUACAGCACGGACAGGAAGAAGACAUUUUGGAAAUUUGACAUAAGUUCUAGGUCUUCCUUAUGGAACUUUCUCCUUUCCAACUGGUCAUACAGGUUGUUUGUGUUGCUAUUAAAUCAGAAAUAAUUAAUAGCCAUUUACUUUUCAAAAGUUUGCCCCCGUUGACAUAAAAUUCAGCAAAGAGCAGGGUCUAGUACAGUUGCCUUCUCUAACAUCUGUUACACAGUUGAGAGUGUAAAUGUUAUGGCUAUUUUACCUAAAAGAAGGCUUAUGCUAGAGAUCUCUGAUAAUUUUCUGUAAGUUUUGUUGAUUUGUAAGCAUUUGAAGAAAAAGCUCAUAUUUUAGAGGGUCAUUCUAUUACUGAGUCCAAUCUCAUACUGUUCACCACACAGCACGCCAAUAAAUCAGGGGACAAGGUGUUGGGGCAAGGAAUAAUGACUUUAUUUGGAAAGCCAGCAGACCAAGAAGAGGGAGGACUCACGUUCUGGAGAACCACAUUCCCCAAGCUCCUUUUAUACUAAGAAGGGGGAAGGGGUAUGGUUGUUUAUUGCAAGCUUCUUGGUGUCAGAAUCCUCUGUUCUUGCAGCUGUCCACCUAGGUCAGGUCAUGGUGUCCCUGUAAACCUCCAACAAGACAAAUGUUAUCCUCUAUUCUGCAACUUUUUAUCUCUAAAUGAAUAGGUAAGUGUUACUCUCUUAAAGGUCAGAGCCUUGAGAAUGGGCUGUCUUGUACAUUUCAGGCUAUGGGAAACAUUCUUUUACAAAAGGUGCAGAACCUGCGUGACCAAGCGCAGGAGGAGAGCUGAAUGAACAGAUCUAACAUGGAGUCAGAUUUGUUCUUCCCUGUUACAAUUCUGCAUGUCAUUCCUGGCCCAGGAUCCCGGGGUCGUUGUGUUAUUCUGAAUCCUGGGCCCGCAGCCUUAUCUAUCAUGGAUAGUUCUUCUCUAGUUUGCUUAUUGCUCCUUUAAAAGCAAAUUGAAUAAUUUUCUAUGUUCUAGAAGAUUAUGAGGAAAGGAAAUUGCAGAAAUAGUUUCACUGGCCUUGAAAAUGUCAGUUGAGACAGUCAUAGAGCUAUAUUUUUAAGACUAAUGUGAAGAAAUCCCAGAGUCUUCAAAAGAGGCUGCUGAGCAAUA